CCUACGGGGGGCUGCAGUGGGGGAUAUUGCACAAUGGGGGGAACCCUGAUGCAGCAACGCCGCGUGAACGAAGAAGGCCCUAGGGUCGUAAAGUUCUGUCGUAUGGGAAGAAAAAAAUGACAGUACCAUACAAGAAAGCCCCGGCUAACUACGUGCCAGCAGCCGCGGUAAUACGUAGGGGGCAAGCGUUAUCCGGAAUUACUGGGCGUAAAGGGUGCGUAGGCGGCUUGUUAAGUCAAGGUUAAAAGGCAGUAGCUCAACUACUGUUCGGCCUUGAAACUAUCAAGCUUGAGUAUAGGAGAGGAAAGUGGAAUUCCCAGUGUAGCGGUGAAAUGCGUAGAUAUUGGGAGGAAUACCGGUGGCGAAGGCGACUUUCUGGACUAAAACUGACGCUGAGGCACGAAAGUGUGGGUAGCAAACAGGAUUAGAUACCCUGGUAGUC
rnacentral:rRNA from 1 species